rnacentral:rRNA from 1 species
ACGGGAGGCAGCAGUGAGGAAUAUUGGUCAAUGGGCGAGAGCCUGAACCAGCCAUGUCGCGUGGAGGAAUAAGGAUCUAUGGUUCGUAAACUCCUUUUGCGGGGGGAUAAAGUGCGGGACGCGUCCCGUUUUGUAGGUACCCCGCGAAUAAGCAUCGGCUAACUCCGUGCCAGCAGCCGCGGUAAUACGUAGGGAGCAAGCGUUAUCCGGAAUUACUGGGUGUAAAGGGAGUGUAGGCGGGACUGUAAGUCAGAUGUGAAAUAUGCCGGCUCAACUGGCAGACUGCAUUUGAAACUGCGGUUCUUGAGUGAAGUAGAGGUAAGCGGAAUUCCUAGUGUAGCGGUGAAAUGCGUAGAUAUUAGGAGGAACAUCAGUGGCGAAGGCGGCUUACUGGGCUUUAACUGACGCUGAGGCUCGAAAGCGUGGGGAGCAAACAGGAUUAGAUACCCUGGUA